UACAGAGGGGGCGAGCGUUGUUCGGAAUUACUGGGCGUAAAGGGCGCGUAGGCGGCCAACUAAGUCAGACGUGAAAUCCCUCGGCUCAACCGGGGAACUGCGUCUGAUACUGGAUGGCUUGAAUUCGGGAGAGGGAUGCGGAAUUCCAGGUGUAGCGGUGAAAUGCGUAGAUAUCUGGAGGAACACCGGUGGCGAAGGCGGCGUUCUGGACUGCAACUGACACUGAGGAACGAAAGCCAGGGGAGCAAACGGG
rnacentral:rRNA from 1 species